UACGGGGGGAGCAAGCGUUGUUCGGAUUUACUGGGCGUAAAGGGCGCGUAGGCGGCCACCGCAAGUCGAUUGUGAAAUCUCCGGGCUUAACCCGGAAAGGUCAACCGAUACUGCGGGGCUAGAGUGCAGAAGGGGCAACUGGAAUUCUCGGUGUAGCGGUGAAAUGCGUAGAUAUCGAGAGGAACACCUGCGGCGAAGGCGGGUUGCUGGGCUGACACUGACGCUGAUGUGCGAAAGCCAGGGGAGCAAACGGG
rnacentral:rRNA from 1 species